CAGUAGCCACGGUAAUACGUAGGGUGCGAGCGUUAAUCGGAAUUACUGGGCGUAAAGCGUGCGCAGGCGGUUUUGUAAGACAGAGGUGAAAUCCCCGGGCUCAACCUGGGAACUGACUUUGUGACUGCAAGGCUAGAGUACGGCAGAGGGGGAUGGAAUUCCGCGUGUAGCAGUGAAAUGCGUAGAUAUGCGGAGGAACACCGAUGGCGAAGGCAAUCCCCUGGGCCUGUACUGACGCUCAUGCACGAAAGCGUGGGGAGCAAACAGGAUUAGAUACCCGGGUAGUCCCUGUCUCUUAUAC
rnacentral:rRNA from 1 species